rnacentral:rRNA from 1 species
UACGUAGGGUGCGAGCGUUGUCCGGAAUUAUUGGGCGUAAAGAGCUCGUAGGCGGUGUGUCGCGUCGGCCGUGAAAACCUGGGGCUUAACUCUGGGCGUGCGGUCGAUACGGGCAUCACUUGAGUUCGGCAGGGGAGACUGGAAUUCCUGGUGUAGCGGUGAAAUGCGCAGAUAUCAGGAGGAACACCGGUGGCGAAGGCGGGUCUCUGGGCCAUUACUGACGCUGAGGAGCGAAAGCGUGGGGAGCGAACAGG